CCUGAGUCUACAAGCGAGAGGACCGUACGCUUGCAAGGAAAAAGGAGCCUUUUUAAGGACUACAUAUGGCGUCGUCGAAAGGCCACAGGAAGACGGAAUAUCAACAGGAUUCCGUCCAGGCAACCUCGGCAUCCACACCGGUGCCCAAGCAGCAGCAAGAACCAAGAAAGCUUGCGCGCUUGAAAAACAAACCCGAUAGAAGGUGACCGGCAACCAUGACACCGUCAUCAACUACCAUCCUACGAGCGAGGGGACGAGGCAAAACAGACUUUCCUCCUUUCGUGCUUUGGCUGUGACUUCUUGCAAGGGACACACCAGCUUUGUUUCUUUCUCAACGCCUGUGGCCGCACAGCAAAAGGCAAAACACCCCACCCCAGUUUGCGCGUGCCUUACAUCCUCGCCAGCCCCAGCCCCUGCAGUGUUCCCAAUGCCACCAUAUUGGGCACGCAAGCGCGACCUGCUCGCGAGACCAACCGUGCCUGCGCUGCGGCGUCAUACAUGCCAGAGACCGUGUGCAGCACAACAUCCACGCUGCCAAAAUUGUAGCGGAAAACAAUCCGCAACCAAGCUACGCGUCACUUCUCGGCAGCUCCAGCGCAAAGCUGUGUUCUUCAUGGUCUCAUCUGACAGCACCACGACUUGCCGCCAAGCCCUGUAGCCGUGCGAAAAUCAUGUUCCGCUCUUUCCGGAAUCACCUUGUCGAUAACAGCGGCGUGGCCCCGGAAGCCGUCCUGCGAUCUACAUCGAGUGCGCUGUCGUCUCCACGAACACGACGAGGGCUUCGUUCUCGUCUCAACCGGCUGUGGUCGUCGUCACUACGCACUCGACGACGACGAAGACACCACGUGCUUCAUCGCAUCUUCUGGCUGCUGCCGCCAUCUCCAAAAGUUUGACGACCACGCCACCAGCACCCUCGAUGCCACCGGCCUGCGCCGGCCUCUCGACUUAGAUGAGUGGCGUUUUCUAACAAUUUAGUAUGUGUUAAGUAGGACUACAGGUAUUUUUUUCUGUUUUAUGACAAUAUCAACCAGCGAGAGGUCAACGAUGAGCCACUGUGCUUAUUUGCUUGUUCUAAAUAUUACAGAAAAAUAAAGAAAACUGGUGGUGGGGGGUGGGGGCUGUGCGAUUACUAUACGGCACGCAUCCCGAAACAUGGAGCUUUUGCUGUUGUUUCAUGCUGUGCAUAGUUUGUGUUGCGUAACAAUUUACACGUCGACAUGUGCCAACCUAUACCUUGAUUGGGCAGUCUCCGACUCGGGGAAAUGAUAAGCUGACAUUUUUCUACUUAUGACCAACCAUGAUCGGUGAGUUACAGCCUUGUCUGUUGCGAAACAUUUAACCACCACUCGUGUAGCCGCCUUUGUUUUCGCUUCAUUUUCCUAUUACGUUUUAGUACCAUGGGUUUCGUGAAACAUCAGUCUUGUAGCUCUGGUCAACAUGGCUAUCAGUGUAGUUUAUGUUACUGCAUGAAAGCGGACGAGAAACCGCUCACUUCUCAGCCGGGUAACUGGCUUGACGCGUUGAAAUUGUUUUGCCCUUAGGAUUUGUGUAGCCCGAAUACUCGCCAAAGUUUUCUUGAAAAUAACUUGGCGGAAUACUUGCCGCGAGUGUACAAAUCAAUUUGGACAGCGGGAUACAUUGUACAACAUGUGGGAUAUAGAAGCCGAAUCGCGAAACAGAAAAACUGAGUUGGUCACUUCGUGUGUGAAGUAUUUAGCAAAGGAAGACAAUUUUUCACGUCGUCAGGAACCGGGUGUGACAAGUUUUGCGAUGUAGUACACCCCAUAGGUAAUAUCUUCGUAGAGCGAAACAUAAUUAGAGCACGUUGUGGCGGUUGCUUCUCUAUCUCUUAAUUUAGCUAGUUACCUUUGGAAACGAUGAGAUGAUUUCACAUAGGCAGUACAACUUGGAGACAAACUACUUGAUAAAAUGAACAAUAUAUGACUCUUCAGCCAA
rnacentral:lncRNA from 1 species